rnacentral:rRNA from 1 species
UAGGGAAUAUUGGGCAAUGGGGGAAACCCUGACCCAGCAACGCCGCGUGAAGGAAGAAGGCUUUCGGGUUGUAAACUUCUUUUACCAGGGACGAAGAACGUGACGGUACCUGGAGAAAAAGCUACGGCUAACUACGUGCCAGCAGCCGCGGUAAUACGUAGGUAGCAAGCGUUGUCCGGAUUUACUGGGUGUAAAGGGCGUGUAGGCGGGAUUGCAAGUCAGAUGUGAAAUCCAUGGGCUUAACCCAUGAACUGCAUUUGAAACUGCGAUUCUUGAGUAUCGGAGAGGCAAGCGGAAUUCCUAGUGUAGCGGUGAAAUGCGUAGAUAUUAGGAGGAACAUCAGUGGCGAAGGCGGCUUGCUGGACGACAACUGACGCUGAGGCGCGAAAGCGUGGGUAGCAAACAGGAUUAGAUACCCUGGUAGU